UUUAAGUAAAGAUGUUUUAUUCUAAAGUUUGAUAACCUUUAUAAACCUUAGUAGUGGAAGUUUAAAUAUUAUUUCUCUUACUGAGUUAUAUUGGAACUCACCCAAAUCUAUAUCCCCCCUCAUAUGAUGGAAAUGAUGAUUCGCUUGCUCAGUUGCCUCUUAAAGCCUAUUUGGAUCCAGUUACAGAUCUUUAGGAAUAUUAU
rnacentral:lncRNA from 1 species